rnacentral:lncRNA from 1 species
CACCAUCUCUCAGUGUCCAUGUGUGCAGGGUCUUUCACAGUAAGGCACAGGGGAGGGGGCACACCAGAAAAGAAGGCACCUCUCCAGGCUUGCUCCAUGACUCCCAGACACAUUUCACUCACCCCCUUCCUUCUGGAAAUGAAGUGGGGCCUGACCUCCUGUGGCAGCAUCUGCAUAUUGUCUCCUGUGCUCUGGGCUUAGGAGAAGAGGGGGUGGCAGUUAAGUCCUCAGCUUGAGGAAGUCUGGAGAAGCCACUUGUCCCUAAGGAAAAAUUCUCACAGCUAAAGUAUCAUUUCAUCACGCUGGUUACAGAUGUGAUACCCUCAUGGCCUCUACAUACAGCCAAAGCCUCCAUUACUCCAGUGAAAAUGGCGGGCCUCUGGAUCAACUGAAAAGUGCCACUCUACCAUCUUGGGCACAUGGCUGGAAAAGUAUCCAGACCACUUCCAGCAGCCUCUGGAGUUCGCGUGCCUCAAGCAGCUGGUGGAGUACAUACAGCUGCACAUGCCUGGCUCAGACCUGGAGCACCGUGCGCACCUUCUACUGGCCCAGCUGGAAGACACACAGACCACGAAGGCCAAGCCUGGGGGUGAGGAGGCCUGGGAUGUGUCCAUCAAAGCACAUGAGGAAGCCCAGGCAGCAGCACUAGUGCCAGGUCCAACUGGAGAGCAAGAGGCAGCUCUGGCAGCAGCCUCUAAACCAGUGGCAGAUCCACCACCCAUUCUGGGGCAAGAGUUGGCUGCAGUGCCAGCUCCAUGGCCAGGUGCACCUAGAAAGCCACCUCGGGUUAUUCCAAAGAAGAAGCAGACUGGAACUGAGACUCUGGAGCUGGAGCCAGCCAGAGCAGGGCCACUUCUACCAGUGGUGCCAUCCUGGCCUUCACCUAUGACCAUGAAAACCAGGGUGAGUGCAGGGAAGCCUCACAUGAUGGGACCCCUCCUGAUCUGGUGGCUGACUGGGUCACGCUGAGGGACAUGGUAAGUGGCUGGGCGCAGAAGGAAAGGCAAGUGUGGACUCCUUCCAGGCAUCUGCCAUCAAGACCUGCUGAACCCAUGUCCUGUUCAUAUCCCAGCUCCAUCCUUGCACACCAUAGGGUCACUCUUAUGUAAGAUGUCCUUGUGGCAGGGAGACAGAACCCCGAAUUCCCCACGAGGCGUGAGCCACAGUCCUGACUUUCUGAGCUGCAGACUGAUCAGUGGACUCUGUCCUUGCUUGGGGCCCUGUGGUCUGUGGCAGGGCCCAGUGACACUAUCUCUCCCCAGGAGCUGUUUAAAAACAUGGUGCUCUACCCUUUCCAGGAUUCCACCUGGUUACAGCGGGGCAAAAAGGCCAAGGAGCAGCGGGCUGCCACCGUCUGCUCCAC